CCGGUCGAGAGAGGCAUUCCAGGCCAAGCCCCCUCCCCCCGCUUCCCUCCGGCCUCGCCUUGCUGCGCCGUUCCCACCCGAGCAGGGGGGGGCGGAGAGGAAGGGCCGGGCGCGCUCAUGGCUCCCUAUUUGCAUAACUUCUUGCGGCUUGGGAAAAAGGAGGAACACGCACGCACGAACGAACGCCGCAAGUGGCGUGGUUGUAAAGAGCCACUUUGUUCCCGAACCGGCAGAAAAAAGUGGUGGGGGGGAACCCGCUCCUGCACACGUGCGCGUGGGUAACCCCCCCCCCCUUUAAAGAAAGAAAGAUUUCUCUUUUCCCCAGAGCUUACGAUAAACCCGAAGCACCCUUUGAAUCAGGAAGCUGGAAACUUGGUGCAAGAGUAGAGCAGAUCUUGUGUGUACAACGGUUGAGCAACAGCUCCAGGAUUCAAAAUGGUGGCUGUUAGAAGCAGCAGGAGAGGUCAAGAUGCGGAUUGGAUGGCAAGCAAACAUGCCAGAAGGAGAAAAACAAUGGGAAAGGGGUACAUACUUGCUGUUGUGCAGAUUUUACAUCCCAUAAGAACACUGGAAAACAUAUGGACAUCAGUCUUGUGUUUGGAUAAGGACCUCCUGAUUGUGAAAUUCCUACAGGCACAAGAGUCAUCGUUCUGGUAUGCUGACAGGUCUUUGGGAAUACAUGAAAAUGAAGUUCCAAGGCAGCUGUGGCACACAAGAAUACAGUGAAGGUGGUGGACUGCUGACAUUUCCUAGAAACAUUGAGCUGAAUCCAGAUAAGAGACAACACCGUAAUUCUACUGGUUUUGUUUUUAAAAAGAAAUAAUAUACUUUGUCCUUGCCUUUGAAUACCCUCUGGCUGUUGCAAGCCUGUUUAAAGAUGGGAAUAUCCAGGGGGACAAAAAGGGUAAUUGAAUCAAAAGGGAAUUUUCAAAGUUCUAUACAUUUUGAGGAAAUAGGUAAAUGUUUUACUUAGAAACUGCACUGUAUUUAGGUUUUAUGUGAUGCAAUCAUUUAAAUGUGCUCUGCACAAUUUAAGGGAAUCAGGUUUUCUGCCACCCUGAACCAAACCUCUGAGUGUGCUUUAUUUAUUAAGAAUCUUCAGAAAAUCUGUACUAUUUUGAAUCUCAUUCUAGUCUCUUUCUAGUUACCUUUUUUCCUUUUAUUUGUAGUGGGCAAUGGCAUCUUGUGGUCCACUAGGAUUCUUAUUAUUUCUUUCUAUAAUGUUUUGCUUGAUCUAUCUCGUUUCAUUUACUAGCAGUUCUAUUUCUGGACUGGGACAGCUCUGUAAUUUAUCUUUUCCAACACUGAUUAUUUGCAGUUUAAUAUUUAGAGUUUAUCUACUUUUUUUUCCUAAUAAAGUUUAU